rnacentral:rRNA from 1 species
GAUGAACGCUAGCUACAGGCUUAACACAUGCAAGUCGAGGGGUAACGAGAGGGAAGCUUGCUUUCCUUGUCGACGACCGGCGCACGGGUGAGUAACGCGUAUCCAACCUGCCCCCAACUAGGGAAUAACCUUGCGAAAGUAAGACUAAUACCCUAUAAUUUCCUCAGAUGUCAUCUGACGAGGAAUAAAGAUUUAUCGGUUGUGGAUGGGGAUGCGUCUGAUUAGCUUGUUGGCGGGGUAACGGCCCACCAAGGCAACGAUCAGUAGGGGUUCUGAGAGGAAGGUCCCCCACAUUGGAACUGAGACACGGUCCAAACUCCUACGGGAGGCAGCAGUGAGGAAUAUUGGUCAAUGGGCGGAAGCCUGAACCAGCCAAGUAGCGUGCAGGAUGACGGCCCUAUGGGUUGUAAACUGCUUUUAUACAGGAAUAAAGUUAGCCACGUGUGGUUAUUUGUAGGUACUGUAUGAAUAAGGACCGGCUAAUUCCGUGCCAGCCGCCGCCGUAA